AAAUUGAAGAGUUUGAUCAUGGCUCAGAUUGAACGCUGGCGGCAGGCCUAACACAUGCAAGUCGAACGGUAACAGGAAUCAGCUUGCUGAUUCGCUGACGAGUGGCGGACGGGUGAGUAAUGUCUGGGAAACUGCCUGAUGGAGGGGGAUAACUACUGGAAACGGUAGCUAAUACCGCAUAAUGUCGCAAGACCAAAGAGGGGGACCUUCGGGCCUCUUGCCAUCGGAUGUGCCCAGAUGGGAUUAGCUAGUAGGUGGGGUAACGGCUCACCUAGGCGACGAUCCCUAGCUGGUCUGAGAGGAUGACCAGCCACACUGGAACUGAGACACGGUCCAGACUCCUACGGGAGGCAGCAGUGGGGAAUAUUGCACAAUGGGCGCAAGCCUGAUGCAGCCAUGCCGCGUGUAUGAAGAAGGCCUUCGGGUUGUAAAGUACUUUCAGCGGGGAGGAAGGGAGUAAAGUUAAUACCUUUGCUCAUUGACGUUACCCGCAGAAGAAGCACCGGCUAACUCCGUGCCAGCAGCCGCGGUAAUACGGAGGGUGCAAGCGUUAAUCGGAAUUACUGGGCGUAAAGCGCACGCAGGCGGUUUGUUAAGUCAGAUGUGAAAUCCCCGGGCUCAACCUGGGAACUGCAUCUGAUACUGGCAAGCUUGAGUCUCGUAGAGGGGGGUAGAAUUCCAGGUGUAGCGGUGAAAUGCGUAGAGAUCUGGAGGAAUACCGGUGGCGAAGGCGGCCCCCUGGACGAAGACUGACGCUCAGGUGCGAAAGCGUGGGGAGCAAACAGGAUUAGAUACCCUGGUAGUCCACGCCGUAAACGAUGUCGACUUGGAGGUUGUGCCCUUGAGGCGUGGCUUCCGGAGCUAACGCGUUAAGUCGACCGCCUGGGGAGUACGGCCGCAAGGUUAAAACUCAAAUGAAUUGACGGGGGCCCGCACAAGCGGUGGAGCAUGUGGUUUAAUUCGAUGCAACGCGAAGAACCUUACCUGGUCUUGACAUCCACGGAAGUUUUCAGAGAUGAGAAUGUGCCUUCGGGAACCGUGAGACAGGUGCUGCAUGGCUGUCGUCAGCUCGUGUUGUGAAAUGUUGGGUUAAGUCCCGCAACGAGCGCAACCCUUAUCCUUUGUUGCCAGCGGUCCGGCCGGGAACUCAAAGGAGACUGCCAGUGAUAAACUGGAGGAAGGUGGGGAUGACGUCAAGUCAUCAUGGCCCUUACGACCAGGGCUACACACGUGCUACAAUGGCGCAUACAAAGAGAAGCGACCUCGCGAGAGCAAGCGGACCUCAUAAAGUGCGUCGUAGUCCGGAUUGGAGUCUGCAACUCGACUCCAUGAAGUCGGAAUCGCUAGUAAUCGUGGAUCAGAAUGCCACGGUGAAUACGUUCCCGGGCCUUGUACACACCGCCCGUCACACCAUGGGAGUGGGUUGCAAAAGAAGUAGGUAGCUUAACCUUCGGGAGGGCGCUUACCACUUUGUGAUUCAUGACUGGGGUGAAGUCGUAACAAGGUAACCGUAGGGGAACCUGCGGUUGGAUCACCUCCUUACCUUAAAGAA
rnacentral:rRNA from 1 species